GAUGAACGCUGGCGGCGUGCCUAAUACAUGCAAGUCGAGCGAACAGACGAGGAGCUUGCUCCUCUGACGUUAGCGGCGGACGGGUGAGUAACACGUGGAUAACCUACCUAUAAGACUGGGAUAACUUCGGGAAACCGGAGCUAAUACCGGAUAAUAUAUUGAACCGCAUGGUUCAAUAGUGAAAGACGGCUUUGCUGUCACUUAUAGAUGGAUCCGCGCCGCAUUAGCUAGUUGGUAAGGUAACGGCUUACCAAGGCAACGAUGCGUAGCCGACCUGAGAGAGUGAUCGGCCACACGGGAGGUGAGACGCGGUCCAGACUCCUACGGGAGGCAGCAGUAGGGAAUCGGCGGCAGUAGGCGAAAGCCUGACGGAGCAACGCCGCGUGAGUUGUGGAGGUCUUGGGAUCGGAAAGCUCUGUUAUUGGGGAAGAACAAAUGUGGAAGGAACUGUGCCCGUCGUGACGGUAACUAAUCAAAAAGCCACGGCUAACUACGUG
rnacentral:rRNA from 1 species